UACAGAGGGUGCAAGCGUUGUUCGGAAUUAUUGGCGUAAAGCGCGUGUAGGCGGCUUGCAAGUCGGGUGUGAAAUCCCUCAGCUUAACUGAGGAAGUGCGCCCGAAACUGCUUUGCUUGAGUGCCGGAGAGGAUGGCGGAAUUCCCAAGUAGAGGUGAAAUUCGUAGAUAUGGGAGGAACACCGGUGGCGAAGGCGGCCAUCUGGACGGUAACUGACGCUGAGACGCGAAAGCGUGGGGAGCAACAGG
rnacentral:rRNA from 1 species